UACGUAGGGGGCAAGCGUUGUCCGGAUUUAUUGGGCGUAAAGAGCGUGUAGGCGGCCUGGAAGGUCAGCUGUGAAAACUCGAGGCUCAACCUCGAGACGUCGGUUGAAACCACCUGGCUAGAGUCCGGAAGAGGAGAGUGGAAUUCCCGGUGUAGCGGUGAAAUGCGCAGAUAUCGGGGAAGAACACCCGUGGCGAAGGCGGCUCUCUGGGACGGUACUGACGCUGAGACGGCGAAAGCGUGGGGAGCGAACAGG
rnacentral:rRNA from 1 species